GUGUCGUUUUUGUAAAUUAGGGUUUAUCGCCUUCUUUCUUUUCCGCCGUUAAAAGAAAAUUGAGAUGUUCGAUUUUGACGUUUGAUCUUCGUCUUCUUCAACUUAAAUGCUCCCACUACAGAUUCAUCCCAUUAAGCUUCUUAUGAAAUCCAUCAACCACGAUCUAGCUUUUAAUGCAAGUUUCUUUUGUGCAAAGCGGUGUAUCUGCGAGUAUAUAAAGUCUGGCAGGUGCUCCGCCACUGUUGAGGUCUCACUGCGUUUCUCGGAGGCUAGUAAUGUCAUUUCACGGUGGAGAUGGACCAUUAUGAAGGCCACUAUUAAUUCUAACCGGCGACCUGCUCUCAGCAUUAAACAUUCAACCUUCAUUCAAGCCACUGUGUACCAGCAUCUUAUCAAGACAGGUUCAAUUUAUUCCAUAAGCGGUUUUGAUGUGACUCAGAGCAAUCUGAACUUAACGCUGUCCGACUCUUCUCUAUCGAUUUGACUCAAUCGUCGAAGUGCGUCUCCACCGUCGAAGUGUGUCUCAUCAGAUUCUGGGAGGCUCUCCCUCGCUCUUUUAUCAUCUAUCUACCAGUUAUAUGAUUGUCCAUUGUAAUCUAUUUCUGUUUGAAGUUUGACUUUGAACUCUGAUUUUUCAUUUUUAUGCAGAGAAAAUGGAGAGAUGCCACCAAAGAUACGUUUCUUCAAAGACCAAAUCUAGAAAGUUGGAGUUUAUCCCGAAGAGUUCAUAGACAAAGAAGUUUAUAUGGAUUUGGAUGAUGUUGAGGAGAAGCAGGAGAAGCCUGGAGAACCAGAAGCUGAACUUUCCAUACUCAGGGCUAUUAAUAAUAAGCUUCAACGCUCUUAAAAUUAACUUGUGGAGUUUAGGUCUCCUUGCAACUGUUCUAUACAAGUGAAUCUGCAUCUUGGUUUAGGUCUCAGUCUUUAUGUAGAUGGAGAGAGAGAGAGAGUACUAAUCAUAUUGUUACGUUACGUUCAAGGCCUAUGUUAACGCUAGGAGAGCAGAGACUUUGCUAUAUUGUUAUUGUCUCAAACAUCGUUAAAUAUAUGCAAGAUUCUGUAAAUAAGGUAAACAAACUGAAGAAAGCAAAGUAUUUAAGUUUGAUGGUAAUAAGUACUAAACACUAACCAGAGUAAUAUUAUUGAUGUUGUGUUUGCAGGAUGUUAUAAAAGCUACUCCCUCUAUUUUUAAAAGAUGCAUAUUCUAGACUUUUCACAUAUAUUAAGAAAACUCAUUAAAUAUGCAUUGUUUUUUGUGAAUAACAAUUUUUCACAACUUUAAGCCAAUAGAAAUUCAAUAAACACCAUUAAUUUUUUUGAAACUUACAAUUUUUCAUAAAAUCAUACAUUGAAAAAGUAAAAAAUGUAUCUUUUUAAAACAAAAUUUUUUUCUAGAAAAUACAUUUUUUAGGAACGGAGGGAGUAUGUUGGAGAGCUGUUCAAGAGUACUUCAAGGUUUAGCUUUCAACACUGUUGUGUGGAAUGAUUCUGUUAUCUUUGUAGAUAAAAGUAUGAGAUGUAGUGAAUGACUUCUUAUAGGUUUUACAGUUUACUUCUAUGUUUGUUUUUUUCCUUCUGUUCUCUUAUAUCUCAUGUAAAUUUAAGUCGGAUAAAAAUCAAUGUAAAAUCUAAAAAUAAUGUAUUUUCUCUUUUUUUUGCUCAAGUUCUGUAUAUAGUAAGCAAAAAGAGAAGAAUGUUCAUCAAGAAAAAAAGCUACAUUAUAAAAUUCAAGUGGAUGAGAAGAAGAAGUGGAAGCAAGGAAGCUUGCCACUAGAAGAGAAUGAAGAAGAAGCUUGGAGCGCAAGAAACGGAGGAAGAAGAAGAAAAAGCGUGAAGAGCAAGAAAGGAAGAAGAAGAAGAAGUCAAGGAAGAAGACAGAAGAAUAAACGUAAGUUAUUUUGGAUAAAAGCUAACUAAGUUAAGUUGUUAAGAUAGAGUUGUGGUUGCAGCUUGUUUUAGGACUAUCAUUGUAUUUUAAGGAAUAUCAUUGUGUUUUAAGGAAUAUCAUUGUGGUUGCAGCUUGUUUCAGGACUAUCAUUGUGGUGAAAGUAUUGUUUUUAACUUGUUUUUAUGACAUUUUGAUUGUGUUU